CGCGGUUCGGACUCGGGGGCGCGGGGUGGGGCGGGGAUGGGGAUGCUGCCUCGCCCACCCCGCGGCGGACUUCAGUAAAUUCCGUUAGAAUCAGAAGAGAACGAACUUUUACGUAGAAGAAAAUGUCUUAAUUUUUGAAGCACGAUUGCCGUGCAAUAAACCACACAUGCUUGAAGUGUGCAACUUGAUGAGUUUGGCACAUAUGUGAAGUUUGACAUAUGCAGUCACGCGCCACAUAGGGACACUUUGGUCAACGAUGGACCACGUACACGACAGUGGUCCCAUAAGGAGCACUCGGUGAGGUCAGCAGGCACCGGAUCACAAGGGGCAUAGGCGGAGACACCUACUCAAGAGGAAGGGCUCCAGCUCCAUCCCAUGAAUCAGUGUACUCUGUGAGCAGAAGAGCAUCGCCAAGGAGGAAGAAAAGAUCCAUAAACAGCGGCAGCAGAAUCGACAGGGUCAUUCCGGGUGCAGGAGGACAGAUGGGGCUCCAGCAGGAGGACGACGUGCAUCGCCAGCCAGCCUGCCUGCCUCCCUCUGGAAAGAGGUGGAGGAAGAUUUGGGCCACAGAGAGGCCGGGGAGGAGGCCAUGGAGCAGAAGCUGGAUGCUGCAGCCCAAGCCAAGGAGCCCCCAGAAGCUGGAAGAGGUGCAGGCCCAUGCUGGGGGCUGGGAAGACAGGCCCAUCCUCAGGCCCUUGUUGGCCUGAGUCGCUCUGCCCACAUCAUCUCAAACACAAACGGACCCUCAUCAAUUGUAAGUUUUUUCUAAAAAAAAAAAAUUCUGAAUGGAUUUUUGUAGUUUUGAGACAGGAACCAUCGGUAAGGCCCUGGGCCUAACAAGAUAAGGCCCCUAACCAAUCAGGAAGCUAGGAGAAUCAGACCGAGGCCCCCAAGAUCCACAUCCCACGGCCUCCGGACUUCCCCCCGCUUACUCACGGCCCUAGCGCCUAGGAGUCCACUGAAGGUGACCCCCGCCGCGUUAGCAUAGUAAAAAUCACACCCAGGGUGGAGAGCUAGCGUGUUAAUGAUACAUGCGUCGCAUGAGGUGGCAUGCUACGUGAAAGCACAGGCACCUCUGCAUGCCGUGACAAGGGCCUCCUCCCCAGCCUUCGCCUCAUAAAAGCCCCACAAUCCCGCUCCCUCAUGAGCCAGUCACCUGCCCCUUUCCUUUCCGCCCCGGCUCCCCUCUGCCUCCCCUGUGCACAAGCUAAUCAACUUUUACUUUCUACUCCCCGCUUUGUUGUCGCUCUUGAUUUCUACCCUGGCGGACAAUAAGAACCCAAUGUGCCAGUAACAUCCUUGCCCUUGAAUUCCUUGGCUACCUGACUCUGCUUGGAUGACCUCGGAGAGGAUACCUAACUUCUCUGUGCCUCACUGGCUCAUCUGUAAAAGAGGGAUAACGGUGUUCCUAAGUCGCAGAAGUCAGUGUCGGCCUUUACAAAAGUCAUAAAACGACGACCAGCACAGAGUCAGUCCCACAUACAUUUGCUAAUUAAGAUAAAAUACCAGGAACCUGUACUUUCUGACUUCUUAUCUACUACCCAGCGUUCUCAGAAUUCUUGCUCCGUGAGAAAGUCUAACCCACAGAGUUCUCAAACGGACUGAAACUUUUACAAAUUCCAAAUAAAAAAUAAAGAUGACGUAACGUUA